AUACAUGCAAGUCGAACGGGAAAGGGGGCUUCGGCCUCCGAGUACAGUGGCGGACGGGUGAGUAACAUAUGAUCAAUCUGCCCGAGAGACCGGGAUAGCCAUCCGAAAGGAUGGGUAAUACCGGAUAAGCCCACGGCGAGGCAUCUCGCAGGGGGAAAAGGAUUGGGAUCUUCGGACCUUUCGCUUUCGGAUGAGAUUAUAUCCUAUCAGUUAGUUGGCGGGGUAACGGCCCACCAAGACGACGACGGGUAGCCGGCCUGAGAGGGUGGACGGCCACACUGGAACUGAGACACGGUCCAGACUCCUACGGGAGGCAGCAGUGNUGAAUUAUUCGCCAAUGCGCGAAAGCGUGACGGUGCGACGCCGCGUGCGGGACGAAGGCCUUCGGGUUGUAAACCGCUGUCAAGGUAUAGAAAAC
rnacentral:rRNA from 1 species